rnacentral:rRNA from 1 species
GAUGAACGCUGGCGGCGUGCCUAAUACAUGCAAGUCGAGCGAACGGACGAGAAUCUUUCUUCUCUGAUGUUAGCGGCGGACGGGUGAGUAACACGUGGAUAACCUACCUAUAAGGCUGGGAUAACUUCGGGAAACCUUAUCUAAUACCGGAUAAUAUUUUGAACCGCAUGGUUCAAAAGUGAAAGACGGUCUUGCUGUCACUUAUAGAUGUAUCCGCGCUGCAUUAGCUAGUUGGUAAGGUAACGGCUUACCAAGGCAACGAUGCAUAGCCGACCUGAGAGGGUGAUCGGCCACACUGGAACUGAGACACGGUCCAGACUCCUACGGGAGGCAGCAGUAGGGAAUCUUCCGCAAUGGGCGAAAGCCUGACGGAGCAACGCCGCGUGAGUGAUGAAGGUCUUCGGAUCGUAAAACUCUGUUAUUAGGGAAGAACAUAUGUGUAAGUAAAUGUGCCCAUCUUGACGGUACCUACUCAGAAAGCAACGGCUAACUACGUG